AGGAUGGUAGUUAAAUAUAACAUUUGGUUUGCAAUCAAAAAGUAUUGAUAAUAUUCAAUUCAUCUUA
rnacentral:tRNA from 1 species